rnacentral:rRNA from 1 species
GUGCCAGCAGCCGCGGUAAUACGGGGGGAGCAAGCGUUGUUCGGAUUUACUGGGCGUAAAGGGCGGGUAGGCGGCCACCGCAAGUCAGUUGUGAAAUCUCCGGGCUUAACCCGGAAAGGUCAACUGAUACUGCGGGGCUAGAGUGCAGAAGGGGCAACUGGAAUUCUCGGUGUAGCGGUGAAAUGCGUAGAUAUCGAGAGGAACACCUGCGGCGAAGGCGGGUUGCUGGGCUGACACUGACGCUGAACUGCGAAAGCUAGGGGAGCGAACGGGAUUAGAUACCCCUGUAGUCC